rnacentral:misc_RNA from 1 species
UCAACAAUUACACCUAUUGGUUCGGUUUUGGGAUAUUUCAUUCCGGCAUUGAAGUGCAUGGGAAGGAGUAUGGUUUUGGAGCUCAUGACUUCCCAGUCAGUGGAGUUUUUGAAGUGGAGCCACGGAGCUGUCCUGGUUUCAUUUAUAGAUGUUCCAUUCCACUGGGCCGCAUAAAUAUGCCUUCCUCUGAAUUUCGUACGUUUAUAGAAACCAUGGCUUCUGAGUAUCAUGGGGACACCUAUCACCUCAUCUCUAAGAAUUGCAACCAUUUUUCAGAUGAUAUCUCACAUAGGUUGGUGGGCAAGUAUAUACCACGGUGGGUAAAUCGACUUGCCCGGCUAGGUUCUUUAUGCAGUUGUCUGCUUCCAGAAAGCCUUCAAGUAACUACCGUUAAACAGCUGCCUGAAUACCACGAGUGCAUGGAAGAUGGAAAUGAAUCCUUGGCAACCACUACCCCCCGUGAGUCAACAGAGAUCGAUGAUGCAGAUCAAGAGAAGCACUUGCUGUCUCCAAAUGCUGAAUGUGGGGAAGUGGCUUUUGUAAAAGAGGUCCACAAAUGAAGCUAAGCUGCCUUAUUAAGAAAGGGUAAAAAGAUAGCUUGGAACAACAUUGUGAUAAUCUCUGCUGAGUGUUGUGGCUGGAAUUUGGAAGGGAAACUUGCUUCUCAUUCUUUGAAGGCUGAAACU